ACUUAUUUAGUUUAAAUUUGAAUAGUAUUUUGAAAAGAUACAGGUUUUUUAAGUA
rnacentral:tRNA from 1 species